rnacentral:lncRNA from 1 species
CGCUCAUUCAAGGAGCACGUAUUCGUAUUCAGGUUCUAUGUGUCGUUCGCUAGGAAGUCACAUAGAACACGCAGGAAAACCCAAAACAAGCACUACGGCGGCCUCCAGGCGGCGCCCGCGGUGCGCACGGUGCUCCCGCGCCUCCCCGCACAGCGCGCACAGCUGCGCCGCGUCGUCCUCGCAGAAGUGGAGCUUCUCGCGUGCUCCGGGCGCACGGCCUGCUCCUCGGGGCCCGGCGCGGGCAGCAGUCGCAGGCGCUCGAGGUGCCACCACGCCGGGAGCUGCCAGAUGCAGGCGAGGAGACCAGGAACCGGGCAUCUGACCAUCCUCCUGGCCUGUCCCAGCCUUGCUGCUUUCUGCUCUGUGGCCUGGGAAAGUCACCUGAUCAUUCAAUUUGCAUCACCCUCUCUGUAAAAUGAUGCUAAUGACACUUGGCAAUGAGCUGUUGCCAGAAUAAGGUGUAAUAUAUGAAAAUACUAAGCCCUGGAUAAAUGUGGCCAGA